GACGAACGCUGGCGGCGUGCUUAACACAUGCAAGUCGAACGGAAAGGCCCUGCUUGCAGGGUACUCGAGUGGCGAACGGGUGAGUAACACGUGGGUGAUCUGCCCUGCACUUCGGGAUAAGCCUGGGAAACUGGGUCUAAUACCGGAUAGGAGCCAUUUUUAGUGUGAUGGUUGGAAAGUUUUUUCGGUGUAGGAUGAGCUCGCGGCCUAUCAGCUUGUUGGUGGGGUAAUGGCCUACCAAGGCGGCGACGGGUAGCCGGCCUGAGAGGGUGGACGGCCACAUUGGGACUGAGAUACGGCCCAGACUCCUACGGGAGGCAGCAGUGGGGAAUAUUGCACAAUGGGCACAAGCCUGAUGCAGCGACGCCGCGUGGGGGAUGACGGCCUUCGGGUUGGAAACUCCUUUCGCUAGGGACGAAGCUUUUUGUGACGGUACCUAGAUAAGAAGCACCGGCUAACUACGUG
rnacentral:rRNA from 1 species